GAUUAAGUUAUUAAGGGCGCACGGUGGAUGCCUUGGCACUAGAAGCCAAUGAAGGACGUUACUAACGACGAUAUGCUUUGGGGAGCUGUAAGUAAGCUUUGAUCCAGAGAUUUCCGAAUGGGGAAACCCAGCAUGAGUUAUGUCAUGUUAUCGAUAUGUGAAUACAUAGCAUAUCAGAAGGCACACCCGGAGAACUGAAACAUCUUAGUACCCGGAGGAAGAGAAAGAAAAUUCGAUUCCCUUAGUAGCGGCGAGCGAAACGGGAAGAGCCCAAACCAACAAGCUUGCUUGUUGGGGUUGUAGGACACUCUAUACGGAGUUACAAAGGACGACAUUAGACGAAUCAUCUGGAAAGAUGAAUCAAAGAAGGUAAUAAUCCUGUAGUCGAAAAUGUUGUCUCUCUUGAGUGGAUCCUGAGUACGACGGAGCACGUGAAAUUCCGUCGGAAUCUGGGAGGACCAUCUCCUAAGGCUAAAUACUCUCUAGUGACCGAUAGUGAACCAGUACCGUGAGGGAAAGGUGAAAAGCACCCCGGAAGGGGAGUGAAAUAGAACCUGAAACCGUGUGCUUACAAGUAGUCAGAGCCCGUUAAUGGGUGAUGGCGUGCCUUUUGUAGAAUGAACCGGCGAGUUACGAUUUGAUGCAAGGUUAAGCAGUAAAUGUGGAGCCGUAGCGAAAGCGAGUCUGAAUAGGGCGUUUAGUAUUUGGUCGUAGACCCGAAACCAGGUGAUCUACCCUUGGUCAGGUUGAAGUUCAGGUAACACUGAAUGGAGGACCGAACCGACUUACGUUGAAAAGUGAGCGGAUGAACUGAGGGUAGCGGAGAAAUUCCAAUCGAACCUGGAGAUAGCUGGUUCUCUCCGAAAUAGCUUUAGGGCUAGCCUCAAGUGAUGAUUAUUGGAGGUAGAGCACUGUUUGGACGAGGGGCCCCUCUCGGGUUACCGAAUUCAGACAAACUCCGAAUGCCAAUUAAUUUAACUUGGGAGUCAGAACAUGGGUGAUAAGGUCCGUGUUCGAAAGGGAAACAGCCCAGACCACCAGCUAAGGUCCCAAAAUAUAUGUUAAGUGGAAAAGGAUGUGGCGUUGCCCAGACAACUAGGAUGUUGGCUUAGAAGCAGCCAUCAUUUAAAGAGUGCGUAAUAGCUCACUAGUCGAGUGACACUGCGCCGAAAAUGUACCGGGGCUAAACAUAUUACCGAAGCUGUGGAUUGUCCUUUGGACAAUGGUAGGAGAGCGUUCUAAGGGCGUUGAAGCAUGAUCGUAAGGACAUGUGGAGCGCUUAGAAGUGAGAAUGCCGGUGUGAGUAGCGAAAGACGGGUGAGAAUCCCGUCCACCGAUUGACUAAGGUUUCCAGAGGAAGGCUCGUCCGCUCUGGGUUAGUCGGGUCCUAAGCUGAGGCCGACAGGCGUAGGCGAUGGAUAACAGGUUGAUAUUCCUGUACCACCUAUAAUCGUUUUAAUCGAUGGGGGGACGCAGUAGGAUAGGCGAAGCGUGCGAUUGGAUUGCACGCCUAAGCAGUAAGGCUGAGUAUUAGGCAAAUCCGGUACUCGUUAAGGCUGAGCUGUGAUGGGGAGAAGACAUUGUGUCUUCGAGUCGUUGAUUUCACACUGCCGAGAAAAGCCUCUAGAUAGAAAAUAGGUGCCCGUACCGUAAACCGACACAGGUAGUCAAGAUGAGAAUUCUAAGGUGAGCGAGCGAACUCUCGUUAAGGAACUCGGCAAAAUGACCCCGUAACUUCGGGAGAAGGGGUGCUCUUUAGGGUUAACGCCCAGAAGAGCCGCAGUGAAUAGGCCCAAGCGACUGUUUAUCAAAAACACAGGUCUCUGCUAAACCGUAAGGUGAUGUAUAGGGGCUGACGCCUGCCCGGUGCUGGAAGGUUAAGAGGAGUGGUUAGCUUCUGCGAAGCUACGAAUCGAAGCCCCAGUAAACGGCGGCCGUAACUAUAACGGUCCUAAGGUAGCGAAAUUCCUUGUCGGGUAAGUUCCGACCCGCACGAAAGGCGUAACGAUUUGGGCACUGUCUCAACGAGAGACUCGGUGAAAUCAUAGUACCUGUGAAGAUGCAGGUUACCCGCGACAGGACGGAAAGACCCCGUGGAGCUUUACUGUAGCCUGAUAUUGAAAUUCGGCACAGCUUGUACAGGAUAGGUAGGAGCCUUUGAAACGUGAGCGCUAGCUUACGUGGAGGCGCUGGUGGGAUACUACCCUAGCUGUGUUGGCUUUCUAACCCGCACCACUUAUCGUGGUGGGAGACAGUGUCAGGCGGGCAGUUUGACUGGGGCGGUCGCCUCCUAAAAGGUAACGGAGGCGCUCAAAGGUUCCCUCAGAAUGGUUGGAAAUCAUUCAUAGAGUGUAAAGGCAUAAGGGAGCUUGACUGCGAGACCUACAAGUCGAGCAGGGUCGAAAGACGGACUUAGUGAUCCGGUGGUUCCGCAUGGAAGGGCCAUCGCUCAACGGAUAAAAGCUACCCCGGGGAUAACAGGCUUAUCUCCCCCAAGAGUUCACAUCGACGGGGAGGUUUGGCACCUCGAUGUCGGCUCAUCGCAUCCUGGGGCUGUAGUCGGUCCCAAGGGUUGGGCUGUUCGCCCAUUAAAGCGGUACGCGAGCUGGGUUCAGAACGUCGUGAGACAGUUCGGUCCCUAUCCGUCGUGGGCGUAGGAAAUUUGAGAGGAGCUGUCCUUAGUACGAGAGGACCGGGAUGGACAUACCUCUGGUGUACCAGUUGUCGUGCCAACGGCAUAGCUGGGUAGCUAUGUGUGGACGGGAUAAGUGCUGAAAGCAUCUAAGCAUGAAGCCCCCCUCAAGAUGAGAUUUCCCAACUUCGGUUAUAAGAUCCCUCAAAGAUGAUGAGGUUAAUAGGUUCGAGGUGGAAGCAUGGUGACAUGUGGAGCUGACGAAUACUAAUCGAUCGAAGACUUAAUCAA
rnacentral:rRNA from 1 species